AAAAUUGUUGAAAUGUUCUUUUAAAACAAGUGACUUUUACAUUUUUAAAGAGGUAUAAAAUUUUUUUUUUUCUUUCUAGAUAUUUGUCGGAAGAAAUUGGAGUGUAAAGUGUACCAUUGGCCUAAUAUAAUUAAUGCAAUUUUCAUCCCCCCCCCCCUCUUUCUCCUAAUUACGAACAUUCGCUUGAUAUAAACAAGAUUAGUGGCAUGUAUCGCUUGUCCGAUAAUGUGUACUGCUCUAAGUUAAAACUGAAUUAGCCUCUCACAUGAAACAUUAACGCAAAUAAACUAGUGUUUAUUACAACAGUAAAAAAAAAAAAAAAAAAAAAAAAAAAUUUUAUGUCUAAAAAGUGUGUGACUUUGUGAAGUUAUUUUUAGUUAUUUGUUUCAUUUUUUUUUUAAACUAUGAAACUGUUAAAAAAAACCGUUUUUAAUAGUUCUUUCACAUUGUUUUUUUUUUUUUGUUUUGUGUGACGCGUAUAUAGUUCAAGUUUGAAAACUGUUAUUACUCGUUACGUGAAGUGCGUGUGAAACUCUCCAGCUUUCAGAGAAGUGCCGGAAAAUCGUGAGAGUAAAGCCCUAGAGGAGUUACGAGACUGAUUCCCUGGCAAAUGUUGACACACGAGCAUUCAUCGAUUUCCAAAGGUCUGGCUAGUAUCAGUAACGGCAACAUCGACGACCAUCAAAAUAAUGUGAAUUCAAGAAAAUUGUCAAAAAAAAUUUUUCGCAUAAUUAAUAAAUCUUAAAUCAUAAAUUAAAUUAUAUAUGAAAAAAAAGAGAAAAAAAAAUGUAAUUUUACAGCAAGAGACAAAAAAAUAUUGUUGAUACAUAUAAAAAAAAAAAAAAAUUUUUUAAUGAAAUUAAAGAAAAUAAAUUGCGAUAAUUGUCGAAAUUACAAAAUGGACAACGUGUAUAAUAAUAAUAAUAAUAAUGAUCGAGAGAUCAGAAAAAAUGUUCGAUAUAGAAUAAUAAUGAUAAUAAUCGAUGAUAAUGAGAGAAGUGAGAGUAAAUUGUCGAUAACCGAUCGGUAAUCUUCAAUUGAAGGUCAUGGAGGCCAACAUCACUAUUAAUGCUUCCUUCGUGACAGCCACAUCUUUUGGUGACGUCACUGCAAUUCUUACUGCUGCCGCUUUAGGAAUUUUGAUCCUCGCUACCGUUGUAGGAAACGUAUUUGUUAUAGCAGCAAUUGUACUGGAAAGGAAUUUGCAAUCAGUGGCAAAUUACUUAAUCGUAAGUUUGGCCGUUGCAGAUCUCAUGGUUGCCUGUCUAGUCAUGCCUUUGGGAGCUGUUUACGAGAUAAAUUCGGGAUGGUCUCUGGGCCCAGAACUAUGUGACAUGUGGACCAGUAGUGACGUCCUGUGUUGUACAGCUUCAAUAUUGCAUCUAGUGGCUAUCGCUGUUGACAGAUAUUGGGCUGUCACUGAUCUCAAUUAUAUACAGUCGAGAAAUCCAAGACGUAUCGGAUUCCUGGUAGUGGCCGUGUGGGUGGUUUCCUUGGGAAUCUCAUUGGCACCUCAACUCGGCUGGAAGGAUCCCGGUUAUUUGGAUCGCAUUGCCGAAGGGAAGUGCCUAAUUUCUCAAGAUCCAGCUUAUCAGAUUUUUGCCACCUGUGCAACAUUCUAUGUUCCGCUGUUAGUUAUUUUAUUUCUCUACUGGAAAAUAUUUCAGGCAGCACGAAGACGUAUUAGAAAAAGGCCUGGAACAACGAUACAACCUCCUCGCGAAAGAAGAGGAAUUCUUAGGCUCGUUAAAAAAAGUCCUAGAGAGGAAUGCACUGCCUUUACAAUAACACGUGCGAUUCCCGAUCAUUCGUCAGUUUCACCUGAGAAAUCGUCCUAUAAUGGAGCAAAUAUUCAACAAACAUCAACAACAGUGGCAAUAACUACAACAACAACAGCAGCAACAUUGACGACAUUGGCAACAACAUCGUUGGCGCCAUCGUCAGAGACAACACCUGUCCCAACAAUGACGACAACGACAACAACAACAACAACAUCGUCAACGAGAAAAACACGCGAGACAAUAGAGGCGAAACGUGAGAGAAAAGCCGCAAAAACAUUGGCUAUUAUAACUGGUGCCUUUGUUGCUUGUUGGUUACCAUUUUUUUUGGUAACAUUGCUUCAAACAUUUUUCACAUCUUUACAGCUACCACCUGUUGUUUACAGUUUUUUCCUAUGGCUUGGCUAUUUUAAUAGCACUCUAAAUCCUGUCAUUUAUACAAUUUUCAGCCCUGAAUUUCGACAGGCCUUCAAAAGGAUACUCUGUGGUGGUGGACGAUUUGUACGCUGAUAUCGAAAAAAAAAAAACAAAUUUUAAAACCCUUAUCUUCACAUACACUUUACGCUUGGAAUCAGUACGAAAAUGACUGACUCGAUUUAAAAAAAAAAAAAAAAAAACAGUAACAUACUUAAAAAUGAGACUCGGGGAAUAUAAACUAAAAAAACGGAUAAGUUUUAAUUUUCCGCGAAACGAAUUUAGAAACUGAAUUAAAAAAAAAAAUUCAAUCUGAAACACUGAAAAAAUUGAACUCAUGAUGAUUUUUUAGGGAAUAAUUUCAUGAGUCUGGUAAAAAUGUACAGUUUACUCGUAAAAAAAAUAAAUAAAUAAAUAAAUAAUCGAAGGGACUUGUAUGAAUUUUUGCCAAAAUCCAAGUUAAUUUCCAAAGGACCCCGCACACGCCACAUUGAUUUUCGGGCAACAUUGAUCUGACUAGACAGAAAUAUUCGACUUUAAACUCCUCCUUCUCACAGAAAGCAAGGUUCUCAUUUUCAGACCUAAUUUAGUCUUUAAAAAACAUGAUCGAGAUUAAAUUCGAUAAAUGAUAGAAAGAUUCGAAACUCUACCUUCUCACAGAAGUUUAUAAUGAUCAUAAACCGGAAAUAUCAAAGCGGAAACUAGACUGAAGAAAUUAAAUCUGACUAGACAGAAAUAUUCGACUUUAAACUCCUCCUUCUCACAGAAAGCAAGGUUCUCAUUUUCAGACCUAAAUUAGCCUUUAAAAACAUGAUCGAGAUUAAAUUCGAUAAAUGAUAGAAAGAUUCGAAACUCUACCUUCUCACAGAAGUUUAUAAUGUUCAUAAACCGGAAAUAUCAAGGUGGAAAGUAGAGUGAAAAAAAUCAAACCUAACUAGACCGAGAAAUAUUCGACAUUAAACUCCUCCUUCUCACAGAAAGCAAGGUUCUCAUUUUUAGACCUAAAUUCUAGCCUUUAAAAAAAACACGGAGCUUAAAUUCGCCAAAUAAAAGAAAGAUUGAAACUCCACCUUCUUACAGAAAGCAAGGUUCCAUUCGUAUAUUUCUGAUCACUUUUUUUAAUUUUGAUAUUUAUAUUUUCUGUUUAAAAGAUCAAAAACCACAAUUCUGCAAAGUUACGAAUGGGAGACUUGCUUUCUGUGAGAAGGUAGAGUUUAAAUAUUAAAAUCUUCUGUGAGAAGGUAAGGUUUCGAAUUUUUCCAUCAUUGGUCGAAUUUAAUAUCCAUUGGAAAAAAAAGCCUUUCAAAAAAAAAAAUAAUAAUGGAGAUUAAAUUCCAAAAAAGAUUUAAACUCUACCUUCUCACAGAGAGCAAUGUUUUAUUUGUACAUUUUUCAGGCCCGGUCAAAAUGGCUGGAAUUGAAGUAUUUUGUAGCUAAAGUCCUCCCGAACAAAAAAUGUUAAUAGAAAAAUUCGCCAAAAUUAAUAGUUUUUGAGAUAAAAAAUAAAAAAGGUGAACGAAAUAAAAAAAAAUUGAGAUUUUAAGUAAAGUAAAGUACCUGAAUGUUUUUAAAAAGUUUUAAGCAUUCAGAAUGUAAUUUAUUCUCAAGUUAAAGUCAACAGUUUUAGGGACAUAAAACUGUCCCGAAACUAUCCCACAAUUGUCCCAAACGUGUUUAAACAAUUAAAAAAAUAUAAUAUAAAGUUAUUUUUAGGCAAUCAAACUAUAAUAUUGUCAUUCGGAUAGAAAAUCUAAGGGACAAGUACAGUUCCUUACAUGUUCCAGAAAUGUCCCCAAAAAAAUAUUUUUAGAAUAUUUAGAAACUAUUACAAAAGAGAUUUUCAAGUAAUCCAAUUAUAAUAUAUUGUCUAGCAAGCCAAAGGUAUAGGGACCAGUACUGUCCCAUACUAAAACUCUGUUUUUGAUCGUUUCUAUAAAUACUCUGAAAAUAUUUUGGGACACUUAUGGGACAUGUAUGGGACUGCCUGUUUUUUUUUAGAAAAAAAUUAGUGUUAAAAUACUUUUAAUUAGAAAAUGCUUUAUGGGGAAAAAAUUUAAUUAAUUCAAAAUUUUCAACUAUAUAAAACAAUGAUAUUAAAUUUAAGAAUAAAAAUCUCAAUUCAAUUUUCUUUUUAUGGAAAUAGAUAUUAAAAAAGUUUUCAUGGAUUUUGAGAAAUAUUCAUAUUGUGUCCCGAAUUUAAACAAAGUGCGACAAAGUCUCGAAAUAGUUCCUGCGCAGUUGUUAAACUCAAUAUUUUUAAAGCGAUAAAUUUUUUGUAAGACCAUUUUCUUUUAGGAUAAAUUUCAAAAAAUCAUGAAAUUCAUAUUUUUUCUCAACCAUUUCUGCCAAAAUAUAAUUAAAAUUAUAUAGGUAAUUUAAUUAUUAAUUUUAAACUCUAAUAUAAGUAAUGUAUAUAAUUUUUUUUUUUUCAAAAUGAUUUUUUGGAUAAUGAUACAUGAGUUGAAAUACAAUAUUUUAUAUCGAAUUUUAUUUUUGUUUUGAUGAAGAAAAAAAAAUGACAAAAAUGGUUAAGAAAUAAUAUGUAAUUGAAAAUGAAUUUUCAUUUCUAAAAACUUAAAUUAAAUACUAAUCUAUAGAUGAUAAAAUCUAUUAUUUCUUUCCCAUUCUAUGGAAUAAAAUUUUUUUACACGUUUCUAAAAAAAAAAAAAAAAUAUUAUCAGUCUAAUGAUACUUGAUUAUUAUUAGACUGAUAAAAAUAAGACUGAUAAGGAAGAUUAUGUGUUUCAAUCGAAAUAAUUCUCUAAAACGCUAAAUAAAAAAAAAAUUAUAGAUAUGUAUAUCUAAAUUACACUAUAGGUUCGAAUUGAAAUAUAUAUUCAUAGAUGACGUCACCUUAAUUCAAUUUUUAAAAAAUAUUAUUUCUAAAUAGUAAAUAAUUUUCACUAUAAAGAAAAUUGUUUUAAAAAUUAGGAUUUUAAUUAGUUACAGUGAAAUACAUAAAUAGAAAUAUUUUCCAUAAUUCCAUUUUUAAAGUAAAUAAUUUAAUUAAUUUUCAAUUAAUUAAAAUUUAAUUAAAAAUUAUUUAUAAAUGUAUUAUAAAAUUUAAUGAUUGUUUUAUAUG